GAUAUGUUCAGGGGUACAUAGUUCAUAAACAAACGAACUUUUUGUACAAGAAGCAGCUCCUGGACAAAAUAUAUACAUUUACAAAGAACACUUAAGCUAGAUUUGGAUCUGCUCUCGGAUUACAAUUACACCUCAAUUAGGACCCCAACAGCUCAAGUACAUGACUGUUCGGAGCGACGUCUCAGCUUGUUUGACUUUGUUGUCAUUCCUGUCCAUAGAAGACUUGUUAUAGGCCAUGUGAUUAUAGCCACCGGCAUUUGUUCUCCCCAUCUGCUGCUUAGAAUAACCAGAAGGGAAGGGAGAAAUAUGAGCAGAGUCAUUAACUUCUCUAAUCGUCUCUGUGAUCCUCUGCAUCAUUGGAGAAAAGACCCUACUCAUGCUCAUCGCUAGCUUUCGAAAGAUGUGUGAGGCUGGGGGUGAGAAGAUAGGGAAGAGAGGGAGAGAGAGAUGGCUUCCAAGGAUAGAGGGGCUGUU